UGGGGAAUAUUGCACAAUGGGGGAAACCCUGAUGCAGCAACGCCGCGUGAGUGAUGACGGCCUUCGGGUUGUAAAGCUCUGUCUUCAGGGACGAUAAUGACGGUACCUGAGGAGGAAGCCACGGCUAACUACGUGCCAGCAGCCGCGGUAAUACGUAGGUGGCAAGCGUUGUCCGGAUUUACUGGGCGUAAAGGGAGCGUAGGCGGACUUUUAAGUGAGAUGUGAAAUACCCGGGCUCAACCUGGGUGCUGCAUUUCAAACUGGAAGUCUAGAGUGCAGGAGAGGAGAGUGGAAUUCCUAGUGUAGCGGUGAAAUGCGUAGAGAUUAGGAAGAACACCAGUGGCGAAGGCGACUCUCUGGACUGUAACUGACGCUGAGGCUCGAAAGCGUGGGGAGCAAACAGG
rnacentral:rRNA from 2 species